UCGAACGAACUCUGGUAUUGAUUGGUGCUUGCAUCAUGAUUUACAUUUGAGUGAGUGGCGAACUGGUGAGUAACACGUGGGAAACCUGCCCAGAAGCGGGGGAUAACACCUGGAAACAGAUGCUAAUACCGCAUAACAACUUGGACCGCAUGGUCCGAGUUUGAAAGAUGGCUUCGGCUAUCACUUUUGGAUGGUCCCGCGGCGUAUUAGCUAGAUGGUGGGGUAACGGCUCACCAUGGCAAUGAUACGUAGCCGACCUGAGAGGGUAAUCGGCCACAUUGGGACUGAGACACGGCCCAAACUCCUACGGGAGGCAGCAGUAGGGAAUCUUCCACAAUGGACGAAAGUCUGAUGGAGCAACGCCGCGUGAGUGAAGAAGGGUUUCGGCUCGUAAAACUCUGUUGUUAAAGAAGAACAUAUCUGAGAGUAACUGUUCAGGUAUUGACGGUAUUUAACCAGAAAGCCACGGCUAACUACGUGCCAGCAGCCGCGGUAAUACGUAGGUGGCAAGCGUUGUCCGGAUUUAUUGGGCGUAAAGCGAGCGCAGGCGGUUUUUUAAGUCUGAUGUGAAAGCCUUCGGCUCAACCGAAGAAGUGCAUCGGAAACUGGGAAACUUGAGUGCAGAAGAGGACAGUGGAACUCCAUGUGUAGCGGUGAAAUGCGUAGAUAUAUGGAAGAACACCAGUGGCGAAGGCGGCUGUCUGGUCUGUAACUGACGCUGAGGCUCGAAAGUAUGGGUAGCAAACAGGAUUAGAUACCCUGGUAGUCCAUACCGUAAACGAUGAAUGCUAAGUGUUGGAGGGUUUCCGCCCUUCAGUGCUGCAGCUAACGCAUUAAGCAUUCCGCCUGGGGAGUACGGCCGCAAGGCUGAAACUCAAAGGAAUUGACGGGGGCCCGCACAAGCGGUGGAGCAUGUGGUUUAAUUCGAAGCUACGCGAAGAACCUUACCAGGUCUUGACAUACUAUGCAAAUCUAAGAGAUUAGACGUUCCCUUCGGGGACAUGGAUACAGGUGGUGCAUGGUUGUCGUCAGCUCGUGUCGUGAGAUGUUGGGUUAAGUCCCGCAACGAGCGCAACCCUUAUUAUCAGUUGCCAGCAUUAAGUUGGGCACUCUGGUGAGACUGCCGGUGACAAACCGGAGGAAGGUGGGGAUGACGUCAAAUCAUCAUGCCCCUUAUGACCUGGGCUACACACGUGCUACAAUGGAUGGUACAACGAGUUGCGAACUCGCGAGAGUAAGCUAAUCUCUUAAAGCCAUUCUCAGUUCGGAUUGUAGGCUGCAACUCGCCUACAUGAAGUCGGAAUCGCUAGUAAUCGCGGAUCAGCAUGCCGCGGUGAAUACGUUCCCGGGCCUUGUACACACCGCCCGUCACACCAUGAGAGUUUGUAACACCCAAAGUCGGUGGGGUAACCUUUUAGGAACCAGCCGCCUAAGGUGGGACAGAUGA
rnacentral:rRNA from 1 species